rnacentral:lncRNA from 1 species
CCCGCGGGGAGCGCGGCCAGCACUGCAGCGGCUCUUCCACCGAGGGCGGCCACCAGGCCUCUCCGAGCCCAGCCCGGCUCGGCACCUCACGCCUAUCAGCGGCACAGCGGCCAUGCCCGCCGGUUUGCCCGGCCCCCUCAGCCGAGGGGGGUGCGGAGGAGGGAGGGGGGGGCUCGGCGGCGGCGACGAAAACUCCUGCCUCAACUUUGCGUGUGCGCGUCCGCACCCGCCCGUGUUUGGGGAGGGGUGUGGGGGGGGUGUUCUCCUCGCCACCCGCCGAGAACCGUCUUUUCUUUCCCCAAAAGAGGGGGGGGGGGGGGGAUAAAAAGGGAAAGCGACGAGGAACUACCGUCAAGCACAGGGAGUAGCCAGAGGACGCUGAAGGCAGCCGAGCGUCCGGGAGAAGAGACCCAAAAAGGAGAAGGGGGAAGGUGCAAAGGCAAGGGAAAAAAAAGGAGGCAGAGGGGGAAGGGGGAAGAGCUAAAGACAAACUCCGAAGAAGGAGGAGAAGAAAGGAAUAGGGACGGUGAAAGAAAAGUGGGAAAGGGAGAGCGGGCGGAGGAAGACAAAGGUGAAAAAGGAGGAGGGGAAAGUGCAAAGGGGAGAGGAGGAGAAGAAAGAAGGGCCCUUCUCAAAAUGGCAUUAGGCAGGAGGGAGGGGGCGACGAGCGGCGAGUCUCCGCUGACAGCUCUGCCUGCGCCUGGCCGCCUGCCCCCGGCCCCUCUCUGCCUCGCACACACAAACGCCGAACUUACUUCUUUCUGGCUCUCUGGAAAGGGGAAGCGCCAUCUUUGCGAGGCCGGCCCCUAGGUCUUUUGUCUGUGGCUGCUGCUGCUGCUGCUGGGGGGGGAGCUCCAGGCUCGGGGGGCUGCUGCUGCUGCUGCUGCUGAGGCGGCUCCACCACCGCCACCACCAGACUCUUGUCCUCCGUUGACAUCCUAGUCAGCAGGACGAGAGAGACACAUGGAUGAUGAUGAUGAGGAUGAAGAUGAGGAUGGUGAUGGGGAUCCCGAUGCUCCUCCUGCUCCCGCGGCUCCUCUCCUCCUCACCUCCGCCUCCUCCACCUCCGCCUCGCAUUGCUGGCCUCAGCCGCCGCCGACCAGCACAGGUAGCAGGGGGAGCAGCAUGGGGAGAGCAGGAGGAGGAGGGGAGGGGGGGGGUUGGGGAGGCGGGGGGGGGGGGGGGGCGAAGAGAAAGAGCGCAGAGGAAGGAAGGGUCUCACACACAAUAACACCCCCUCCCCGGCUCGGCGGGGUCUGUCGGGGCCGGGGGAGGUGGCGGGCGAGGUGAAGAGAGCGAGCGAGAGGCGGCUGAUCCCGCCGCCGGGCGCCCCCCCCCCCCUCUCUCAGAGGCCCCGGGAGCUGCUGGCGGCGGCUCCGGCUCCUGCGCUGCCCGGCUGCGGCGGCCGCCGCUUCAUUGUACACUGGCCCUGCGCCCUCCCCCCGCGCAGAGCCCCCGGGGGCGGAGGAGGAGCAGGCGGCGGCGGCGGCGGCGGAGGCGGCAGGGGCCGAGGCCGAGCGGAGGAAGUUUUGACAGCUCCAGCUGUUGUGUGUGUCGAGGGCUGAGUCCGGCCGGGCUCCGCGUCCCCUUCCCAGCCGGGCCGGGAGCAGGAAGUUUAACUUUGGGGAAAGAAGGAGGAGGAAGGGUGAAAAAGGGGGAGGAGGAAGAGGGAGGAGGAGGAGGAGGCGGCUCCCUCCCCCCUCCCCGCGGGGUGGAGAAGGGAUCCCGGCGCUGCCGCCGCUGCCCUGGUGUGUAAC